UACGGAGGGGGCUAGUGUUGUUCGGAAUUACUGGGCGUAAAGGGCGCGCAGGCGGCUUGGCAAGUCGGGUGUGAAAUCCCUUAGCUUAACUAAGGAAUAGCGCUCGAAACUACCUCGCUAGAGGACGGGAGAGGGAAGUGGAACUCUCGGUGUAGGGGUGAAAUCUGUAGAUAUCGAGAGGAACACCGGUGGCGAAGGCGGCUUCCUGGCCCGUAUCUGACGCUGAGGCGCGAAAGCGUGGGGAGCAAACAGG
rnacentral:rRNA from 1 species